GAUGAACGCUGACAGAAUGCUUAACACAUGCAAGUCAACUUGAACUUCGGUUUGGGUGGCGGACGGGUGAGUAACGCGUAAAGAACUUGCCUCACAGAUAGGGACAACAUUUGGAAACGAAUGCUAAUACCUGAUAUUAUGAUUAUAUGGCAUCGUAUAAUUAUGAAAGCUAUAUGCGCUGUGAGAGAGCUUUGCGUCCCAUUAGCUAGUUGGAGAGGUAACGGCUCACCAAGGCGAUGAUGGGUAGCCGGCCUGAGAGGGUGAUCGGCCACAAGGGGACAGAGACACGGCCUGUACACCGACGGGAGCCAGCAGCGGGGAAUACUGGACAAAAGACCAAGAGUCUGAUCCAGCAAUUCUGUGUGGACGAUGAAGUUUUUCGGAAUGUAAAGUGCUUUCAGUUGGGAAGAAAAAAAUGACGGUACCAAAAGAAGAAGUGACGGCUAAAUACGUG
rnacentral:rRNA from 1 species